GACGAACGCUGGCGGCGUGCCUAAUACAUGCAAGUAGAACGCUGAAGAGAGGAGCUUGCUCUUCUUGGAUGAGUUGCGAACGGGUGAGUAACGCGUAGGUAACCUGCCUUGUAGCGGGGGAUAACUAUUGGAAACGAUAGCUAAUACCGCAUAACACUGGAUGACACAUGUCAUUUAUUUGAAAGGGGCAAUUGUUCCACUACAAGAUGGACCUGCGUUGUAUUAGCUAGUAGGUGAGGUAAUGGCCCACCUAGGCGACGAUACAUAGCCGACCUGGGAGGGUGAUCGGCCAAACUGGGACUGGGACACGGCCCAGACUCCUACGGGAGGCAGCAGUAGGGAAUCUUCGGCAAUGGGGGCAACCCUGACCGAGCAACGCCGCGGGAGUGAAGAAGGUUUUCGGAUCGUAAAGCUCUGUUGUAAGUCAAGAACGGGUGUGAGAGUGGAAAGUUCACACUGUGACGGUAGCUUACCAGAAAGGGACGGCUAACUACGUG
rnacentral:rRNA from 1 species